UCCCUGGAUGUCUAGUGGUUAGGACUCCAUGCUUUCAUUGUGGGGGGCCCGGGUUCAAUCCCUGGUCAGGUAA
rnacentral:tRNA from 1 species